rnacentral:lncRNA from 1 species
UUUUUUUUUUUUUUUUUUUUUUAAUUCAGAACGCAAUGACACAAUUCUUUACCAUGGCAUUAAUAGCUAAUGUCAUCAGUGGGCUGGGUUCGUGUGUGCGUGCGUAUGAAAUACUCUGUUGCACAAGGGAUUGCCUUGAUUUCUAAUAUGCUGUUUCUGUGUUGUUGGUGAAGGCUGCUUAGCUCUUUUCCGUUCUCAGCCAUGCAAUUUUGUAUAAUUGUAAACACUGCCUAAACCUCUGUUACUAUGACAUGAAAUCACAAGCUUGAAGACAAGAUGCAUUUAUACUGGCAUGGUAACAUUAUUAUUGAAAGCAAGAGAAGGUCUAAUGCUAUUCCUCUUAUAGUCAAGGAAAUAACUCCUUCCCUUUUUCAUCCUACUUCAUACUCUGAACUAGCAUUAUUCAUUUCUUUUUUCUCUCCCCCAAAUUCUGCAUAAUUCUGUAAGAACGUUUUGCCAUUUUGAGAGAAAUACGUACGGACAACAUUGUGAAGGCUCCCUUCUCUUUUUGAGGGAUUAUUUUUCUCUACUCUCUGCUCAAUCGAUUGCUUAAAAAGUGAAUUCUCUUUUCCUGGUUCCUCAUCUCUCAGGUCAUAUGUUUCUGUGUAGAACUGAAUGAGGAGAGAUAAGAAGGGCUUCUCUUCUCAGAGUCCUCUUUGUGGCUCAGUGGGUUAAGAAUCCAACCCAUGUCUGUGAAGAUGCAAGUUUGAUCCCUGGUCUCAUUCAGUAGGUUAAGGAUCCGACAUUGCUGCAAGCUGUGGUGUAGGUCGCAGAUGCAGCUCGAAUCCAAUGUUGCUGUGUCUGUGGCAUAGACCUCAGAUGCAGCUCUGAUUCUACUCCUAUCCUGGAAACUUCCAUAUGCUGCAGGUGUGGCCUUAAAAAGAAAAACAGAAAAAAAAAGAAGAAGAAGCAGGGCUUCUCAUGCUCAAGCCAUGUUCUGUUGUCACUAGUCAGCCCUGUGACAUGAGGUUCUUGUGGUUCUUGGGGAGGGACACUGCCUAGAGCCUCACCAGCCAGUGUGGCUCAUUCCACAUCCAACAGGGGAAAGAAAGAACCUCUGUGUGUCACUGACUUUGUGACUCUGUAACCUGAGUCUGCUCCUCAGAGGUGGCAGACACAGAGAGGCCUGGGUCUUUGGUGUUUAGAGUACAGAAUUGGGACAUGAGGUUUGGGGUCUUGGGGCAGGCACUUUGAAAGACACACAAGCCUCCACACCAUCCUAUGUGAUAGAUAUAAUUAUCUAUAUAUCUAUGUGGCAUCUAUGUAUAUACACACUACCUGUAGUAGGAGAGGCCAGAGAGUCAGAAAAAAGAAAAAAGAAAAUGAAAAAAUUGCCCCAAACUGCACAAGUGUUAAAUGGCAGAUUCAGGAUUCAAUCAAUCUGAGCCAGGUCUCUUGCUCUUUUCUCCUUCUCUGUGGCAUUCCUGGGCCUCACACUGCCUAGAACACACUGGCCUCUUUGAGUAUUGCCAGAGAGCACACUUUGCUAUCUGAGUCAAGUUAACAGGUUUUGGAGCAAAUAUAAUGUGUUCAUGUCAUUUAAUUAGUUGCUGCAAAGGAGACAGAAAUAUAUGAUAUUGUGUUUGCCCUCAAGGAGCAUAGAAUUUAAGAGAGAAGUUAGGAGUUCCCAUUGUGGCACAGCAGGUUAAGAACCCUACUAGUAUCAGUGAGGAUGCAGGUUGGAUCCUUGGCCUUCCUCAGUGGGUUAAGGAUCCUGUAUUGCCAUGAGCUUUGGUGUCAAUCACAGAUGUGGCUCUGAUCUCACGUUGCUGUGGCUGUGCUGUAGGCUGGCAGCUGCAGCUCCUACUAGCCUGGGAACUUCCAUAUGCUGUGGGUAUGACCCUAGAAAGGAAAAAAAAAAAAAGAGUAAGAGAAAGAGAAUUUGGAAAUUAAUGCAAAAAUAUCAGGUAGCACAUUUUAAGUUGUCACACAGGGAACUGUGAGUCACUGAUUUUGGGAGGAGCAAGGAAGUCUUCUCUUGGAGGAGGUGGAAUUCUGAGCCAUGACAUGCAGUGAGGAAACUUCUCUGUAUGCUCUAGGAAUGGUGAUUGGUUUAUUUUGGCUGUGAUAAUAGGGCAUGCAAGAGACAAGACUGAAGAUUGUUAGUAAAUGUUAACAUUACCCUAAGAACCUAGUAUUUUAUUGUAGGCAAAGAGGAACGCUGGGCAAGUUUUAAACUGGGAAAGAAAUGCACUGAGUAUGAUGCUUUUGGAAAAUAAUAUGGACCAUUCUAGGAGAGGAAAUAUAAGAAAGUCUGUUACUGAACCUGCCACUGUUUGUGGGUGAGCAGUCCUUUGCUCUCCCAGUACAUUUCCUGAGGGCAUAUGUGAAGCAACUCUGUCUCUAAGCAGCAUGAAGGAGGAGAAAGGGCAAGGAGGAGAGCUGACAGCUUCAGGUUGUGCCUGCAGCAUACUGACUAGCUCCUAUGCUGUCUCUGUCUUUAGUGGCUGCAUUGAAAUUGCAAGGUAGGAAGUGGGAGGUGUAUGAAGGAGGGGGGAAAGCAAGACGUUGAUGGGUAGUAGCCACGAGCAAUGGGAGGGAAUGAGAGUUACUGUUGCAGCAGACUCCUCCGUCUACAGUAAGGGCAGUGACCUGGACCUAUGACCGUGGGAAUACCAUCACCAUUGCUAGGGUUGUUCCAGCUGAAAUCAAGGUACAUGACAAGUGCCCUAAUCUGGGGUGGCCCAUAAAACAGAUAUGGGACAGCACUGACAUUUAUAUAAUAUGGCCAGAAAAGACAUCCUUGAGAGGUGACUUUGAAUAAAGGAAGUGAGGGAGGCAUAAAGGCAGAUAUCUGGAAUAAGAGGCUUUCAGGCAGGUGGAAGAGCAAACACAGAGUCCUUGAGAUGACACGGUACCAUCUCAAGUAUGUCUGAAGAACACCAAGAAACCCUUCACAGUAGAGUUAAGGAGUGAGAGGCAAGAGUAGGAAAAUCAGUGAGAGAGGUGAUGGGGAGUCAGAUAGAACCUAAAGGUGAUAAGAAUUGUAUUGUUUACUCUAGUGAUACUUGAAGACAUUUGAGGGUUUAGAGUAAAAUGGAGGCCCUGACCUGCUUUAGCUUUGGUAAAAGUGCUCUCGAUACUGCUGAAAAUAGACUCUAGAUAGAAAAGGGUAGAAGAAGUGAGAUUAAGUAGGAAACUGCUACGGUAAACCAGGCUAGAAAUCAUGGUGGCUUGGACUAUGUGGGUAGGGAGAUAUGAGAAAUGGUCAAACUAUGGGAUAUGCUGAGGGUAGAACAGACAGGAGUUUUGGACAUAAUGGACAGGGAGUGUAAAGGAAAAAAAAUCCUGACAAAUAUAGUUACCUGGUUUUGUCUCAGGUAGAAGAAAGAAGCUGCUGUUAACUAAUAUGGGGAAGUGUGCAGGAGACAUUGAUUUUGGAAAAAGAUUAAAAGCUUGGUUUUCAGCAUGUUUAAUUUGAAAAGUAUACAAAAUAUGCUAGGAAAGGUAUCAAGCAGGUAAUUGGAGAUGUGUAUUUCAGUUUCAGGGAAGAUGUUGGAGCUGGAGAUAUAAGGUUAGAAACAUUAGUCCAAGGUAAGAGAGUGUUACAAAAAUUAAUUCACGAUAAAUUCUGUCAGAUUCUGCUGAUACGUCAUGAUAAAUAAGGACCCAGAAAUGACCGUUAAUUUCAGCAAAAUAGUGAUGAUGGACCUCAAGAAGGACAGUAGCUCUGGAGUAGUGGAGGAAAGAACAUGAUGUGAAUGGUUCAAGAAAGAAUGGGAGGAAGGAAAUUGGUGACACGAGCAGGGAAUGAGCAAGGGAGAUGGAGGUGUAUGCAGAGAAGCACCUAUGAUAAUCAAAUACGGGACCAAAGCUGCAUAAGGAAAGAAGAGAGGAGGAUAUCAUGGGUGAGCAAAAGAAGAAAGGGGUUGAAUUACCAGAUGAUAGGUCCAGGUAUAUUUGAAGAAUUGUUAGAUGUCUUCAUCAGCCUGAGCUUCCAUAAAAACAAAACAAAACAAAACACAGACCAGGUGGCUUAAACAGUAGACAUUUGUUUCUCAUAGUUCUGUAGACUGGGAACUACCAGAUCAAGAGGUCUGGAAAUUCUGUUUCUGGUGAGAUCUCUCUUCCUGGGUUGCAAACAGCCUGCCUUCUUGCUGUGUCCUCACAUGGUGGAGAGAGACUUCUGGACUCUCCUCUUCUUCUAAGGGCACGAAUCCCUUCAUGACCUUCUCUAAACCUAAUUACUUUUCAAAGGCCUCAACCACAAAUACUGUUACCAAACCAAAUUUGGGUCUGCCUGCCCAUGUGUGCAGCAAAGCCAAUCUAUUGACAUUGGGUUGUGGUGAAGGAAAGUACAGUACUUAUUGCAGGAUGCCAAGCAAGAAGUCUGGACAGCUAGUGUUUAAAGGAUUGAACUCUCUGAUGGAUUUUAAAGACAGGGUGAGCAAGAGGGUUGUAGGGUAUGUGAUCACCUCAUGAACACUCUUCUCAUGGGUUAGUGGUGAGGUAAUUGGGCAUCAACAUCAUUAACCUUAUGGUUCUAUCUGACCUGGGGCCUAUGUGCUUGUGGGCAAUAUACAGUUAGCUUCUUCCAUCUGGCAGGGGUUUCAGUAUCUGAAAAACAGCUGAAGUGAAAUGGCUCAGAAGAUUAUCUUCAGCCCCUGAGGAGGAGCUAAAAGUCCUUGACUUUGUUUGAUGGCUAAAUUGUUAUUAUUUUGUCUUGCUUAUCUGUUUUCUGUUUCUGAAUUUUCUUACUUCCCUUAUUAAAUUUAUUCUUUGGAACUUGGGGAAGGCCUAGGAGGCUAAAGUUUUUCCAUAAACAAGAGGCAGGCAGAGGACAUGGUGGGGUCAUUCCCA